AGUGAACGCUGGCGGUAGGCCUAACACAUGCAAGUCGAACGGCAGCACAGUAAGAGCUUGCUCUUACGGGUGGCGGGUGGCGGACGGGUGAGGAAUACAUCGGAAUCUACUUUUUCGUGGGGGAUAACGUAGGGAAACUUACGCUAAUACCGCAUACGACCUACGGGUGAAAGCAGGGGAUCUUCGGACCUUGCGCGAUUGAAUGAGCCGAUGUCGGAUUAGCUAGUUGGCGGGGUAAAGGCCCACCAAGGCGACGAUCCGUAGCUGGUCUGAGAGGAUGAUCAGCCACACUGGAGCUGAGACACGGUCCAGACUCCUACGGGAGGCAGCAGUGGGGAAUAUUGGACAAUGGGCGCAAGCCUGAUCCAGCCAUACCGCGUGGGUGAAGAAGGCCUUCGGGUUGUAAAGCCCUUUUGUUGGGAAAGAAAAGCAGCAGGUUAAGACCCCGCUGUUCUGACGGUACCCAAAGAAUAAGCACCGGCUAACUUCGUG
rnacentral:rRNA from 1 species